rnacentral:rRNA from 1 species
AGCAGCCGCGGUAAUUCCAGCUCCAAUAGCGUAUAUUAAAGUUGCUGCAGUUAAAAAGCUCGUAGUUGAAUUUCGGGACCGAUAUGUCGGUCGUGCCUCGGUACGUACUGGUGUCAUUGGUUUCUCCCUUCUGAGGAUCCUUGAUGUCAUUAAUUUGGUGUCUUGGGGAAUCAGGACUGUUACCUUGAAAAAAUUAGAGUGUUUAAAGCAGGCAUACGCUUGAAUACAUUAGCAUGGAAUAAUGAAAUAGGACGUUCGAUUCUAUUUUGUUGGUUUCUAGGAUCGACGUAAUGAUUAAUAGGGAUAGUUGGGGGCAUUAGUAUUCAAUUGUCAGAGGUGAAAUUCUUGGAUUUAUUGAAGACUAACUACUGCGAAAGCAUUGGCCAAGGAUGUUUUCAUUAAUCAAGAACGAAAGUUAGGGGAUCGAAGACGAUCAGAUACCGUCGUAGUCUUAACCAUAAACUAUGCCGACUAGGGAUCGGAUGAUGUUAAUUUUUUAAUGACUCAUUCGGCGCCUUACG